UACGUAGGGUGCGAGCGUUGUCCGGAAUUAUUGGGCGUAAAGGGCUCGUAGGCGGUUUGUCGCGUCGGAAGUGAAAACUCAGGGCUUAACCCUGAGCCUGCUUCCGAUACGGGCAGACUAGAGGUAUGCAGGGGAGAACGGAAUUCCUGGUGUAGCGGUGAAAUGCGCAGAUAUCAGGAGGAACACCGGUGGCGAAGGCGGUUCUCUGGGCAUUACCUGACGCUGAGGAGCGAAAGUGUGGGGAGCGAACAGG
rnacentral:rRNA from 1 species